rnacentral:tRNA from 1 species
UGGGCGGGAUAUAGCAUAAAAUAAUGCAUUUCGUUUACACUGAAAUUAUGUCUGGUAUGCAGACUAUCUUAAA